rnacentral:lncRNA from 1 species
AGUAAUUGCGACUUACUUGUUACAGCAGAAGCUUCAAGAAUUUACACUCAUUGGAAUAAUAAAAUAGAAGUAAGCAACCGUGCAUUAAAAAGCUAUGAAAAGAUGAAGAGAAUAUGCCUUCAAAUGGGAAGGAAUACUUAACUGUGAAUAAGACCUAGUUCAACAUGGAACUUCCUGGUGGCCAAGUCAGAAGAGAAGCACAGAACAAAAACGGAGGCACAGAGAGGUCAAUUGAUUGGUCUAAUGACACAGAUCUAGCAAGUGGUGGAACCAGGACUGAAUCCAGAGAAUCUGGAAGACUACUCUGCCAAGACAUCUCAAAAAGUGUGUGUCCGGAAUUGGUGGGUUCUUGGUCUCACUGACUUCAAGAAUGAAGCCGCGGACCCUUGCGGAACUGUGAAGACUAGAGUGACCUUGGAGAUCUCAUCUGGAAGAUGGUAGAACUGCUAUCAGCCUGGCUUCCCAAAUGACCUCCUGGAUCACAGCUACCCAUGGCCUGAAAUGUUGACCUUGGAGUUGUUGCAUAGGAAAGAAAUAAACUUCUUUGUUCUUUGAGCCACAUAGUUAUCACAUAUCUUCUUAAAGCCACUUACCCACUUGUUCUAUCUCAUUCAGCUCUGAAAUUCUGUUUAAUUUCUAGAGUCAAAACAUUCAUUUGUUUCUUCUUUAUUUAACAAGAAUCAAUUACUUAUUUUAUGGAAGCCACUAUUCCAAAGAGAAGAAUCAUAAAAACAUUAGCCUUAUGGAUCUUUUGUCCUGGGAACAACACAGAGUGGAGACUACUGGAAUUUUUAAUAAAGUUCCUUUCCUGGGCAGUGCCAGUCCAGACCUAAUUUCCAGACUUAGUUAAGAUUAGACCAGUGUGCUGAAGAAUCAAAACAUCUAGAUAUUUUCCUUGCUCCAUUCUGCUUACAGCCCCACAAAAACUACUCACCCCACAGGGUUUCUUGCUUGAGAUUCCAGACAAUUCCUGUAUGUUUUAUUAGAAUACACUCUGUGUUUCAUCCAACUAGGAAGCCUUUGGCUCCGACUUAAAGCAUUAAGAACGGACCACUUUGGUAUGGAAAAUUAUCAGUUUUGGGGGAAAAGCCCCUGUUUCUCUGAUCUGUGCUCUGAAUUUGGCAGCUUUGUAGGCUUUCUCAAAGAGCCGCAACUGUGAACCAUGUCAUGUUGUCAUUAUCUCUGAUAUGCUCUGUGCAUUGGAAAUCCUGUGUGAGACUGGCAGGGGACAGAGGGAAUGAAGAAAUCACAUUCAUCAGAACAAGCUGCUCAACUUCCUUAAGUAAGGAGUUUGUCUAACAUCCAGUGGUUUCCUCUGACAGAGUGUGUACUUUCUUAACAUACGGACAAGAUUAGUACAUAGCCAGAAUGACUGUCUGCAGGUCCUAGGCUGCUUUUCAGAGGCAGCUUUAAUCUUCCUAAUUGAAUAUUUAGCUUUUCUAGGCCUGCACAAAAUGUAAAUCACAAUGUUUACAAUCUGUGAAAUAAUAGGAGAGUACAUAAUGUCAUUGCAAUAUUUUGUAAUCACUGUUAAAUGACUAAAAUCUAUUAAACUCAAUCAUUUUAAAUUAAACUUCUAAACUUCCCCA